CGCCACGUUAGCGAAUACUCUCCCCCAACAACUUUUGGGCCAGUUAUGUAAAAUCCCGGGCCGAUUUCUCUUUCCAGUCCAGCCCUGACAAGGAGCACAUGGAUAUUGUUGAAGUUAAACAAGGUUGAACACAUUUGCCUCAAGUUCCUUGAAUGCAGAACCACCAUGGAGAUCCAGAACCUUUGUGGGGACAGAGAUGGGCCUUGUGAGUGUGUGCUGUUGAAGAAAUCUCUCAGCUGUCUUGCAGACUUUCAGGACGCUGUCUGACGGUCUUAUAAAUCCACCUCAGGACUUCAUGUCGAUCAGUGUGUUCAUCUUGGGAAGAGCUCUCGACACUGAGUGCUGAUAAACAGGCUGAACGUCACUGCCUGAAAUGCAUAUCAGAAGAUGUUGCCUCCAGUGUCACUGUGAUAUCCGGUGGAGAACUGUUGCCACUAGCUCUGAUGGCAUGUCUUGCUACCAUUCUUUUGAAAGCUGAAUAAUGUGGGAUUGUUGUUAAAUCCAUUAGCAGAUUUGUUCCCACAUAUCUGCAAAUUUUUAUUGUAUUGUUCAGUUUAAGUCCAUUUUUGUAUGUACUUGGAAGUUUUGUUAUUGAACAAAUAAAUAUGUAUGAUUUCCUUGAGUGUGCAUAUGUCAAUAAACUUAUUUCUAAUUAUGAUUUAAAAGAUCAGGGGAUUGUUGAAAUAAUUAAAUGCUCACAAGCUGGUAUGUACAUAUUCCAGAAAUGAAUGCAAAUGGAUAAUUCCAUUAAGUAAAAGUAAAUUAAUUUAUG